CAGCAUAAACAAUGACCAAUAUAGUAAAGCACUGCCCAUAACACCAUCAACAACUGAAUCACAAAAAUCAAAAUCAUAGCAUAACUCAGAAUCAGAAAAAUUCCAGCAUAAAUAACCAACAAUGUAGUGAAGCAUUGCCCAACUGAAUCAGAAAAAUCAGCAACCAGCAACUCAUAAAUCAAAAUAAACAAAAUUAACAAAAUAACCGAUGCAAGGUGACAAAGCGGCUAAUACUCCGUAGCCGGGCAGAGAGAGACGUCGCCGUGUGAGAGACAGAGAGAAAGGACGUUGAGCUCCGACCCUUAGACAUAGAGAAAACUCGAAGAGAGAGACGGACACUAACAAAUCGAGCAGCGACGACGACAGAGCAGUCCUUCGCGGCGGCGAUUCCAACAGCUCAGACUCGACGUCGAGGGGAGGUGACUAUAAUAGGUGUUGUUGACCUUGAAGAGAGCGACAGAGAGAGAUCGCCGAAGAGACGACGACCGGCUGACGGCGAUAAGAAGAGUAACGAUCCGAAGAGACGGCGACAAGGAGAAGAACGAUGAGAAGAGUGCGACGGUGGGAUAGUGAUGGUGCUGGGUUUAGGGUUUCUCAGAGACGGAGAGAAAGGAGAGGGGAGGGGAGGGGUGGGGUGAGAAGA
rnacentral:lncRNA from 1 species